rnacentral:lncRNA from 1 species
GCUGGACAAGAUGUUUUCAUGUAGGGCUUGUCAGUCGAUUCUUGUGGUGUUCUCGAUGUUUUCUUUUACUUUUUUUUUACUUUUCUUUUUUUUACCUGUUGGGGUUUGGGUUUUUUCACGUGGUUUUUAAUUGUUUUGCAUAGUUUUGCAUGUUUUUGACGUCGUUUUCUUGGGGUUAGCUUGGUAGCUUAUGUGGCCCUCAAGGUGGUUUCAUUAAGUUUAUUUAAUUUUCUCCUUUUCGUACACCUCUCUAACGCUGUUUUGCUUGCUUUUAG